GAUGAGCGCUGGCUACAGGCUUAACACAUGCAAGUCGAGGGGAAACGACGGGGAAGCUUGCUUCCCCGGGCGUCGACCGGCGCACGGGUGAGUAACGCGUAUCCAACCUGCCUCUGACUGAGGGAUAACCCGUCGAAAGUCGGCCUAAUACCUCAUGGCAUCGUCUGCGGGCAUCCAACGACGAUUAAAGAUUUCAUCGGUCAGGGAUGGGGAUGCGUCUGAUUAGCUUGUUGGCGGGGUAACGGCCCACCAAGGCUACGAUCAGUAGGGGUUCUGAGAGGAAGGUCCCCCACAUUGGAACUGAGACACGGUCCAAACUCCUACGGGAGGCAGCAGUGAGGAAUAUUGGUCAAUGGGCGGGAGCCUGAACCAGCCAAGUAGCGUGCAGGAUGACGGCCCUAUGGGUUGUAAACUGCUUUUAUGCGGGGAUAAAGUGAGGGACGUGUCCUUCAUUGCAGGUACCGCAUGAAUAAGGACCGGCUAAUUCCGU
rnacentral:rRNA from 1 species